AAGGAGUCGGUGUUCCAUUCUUUCUGUUUUGCCUGUGAAAAUGCCUUUGGAGACCCACAACCUGGGUCUGUCACCACCACCUGAACACACAACACAAACUCCCUCAUCUCCUUGCCUGGGGAUGGGUGUCUUGCUUCUAUGGAUCUUCUGCUCAUCUUUCCAGAUCCUCCACCAGUUCCAGUUUUUAUGUACACCGUGGAUGACAGAGAGUGAAAGGACCCUUUUAUCUCUGAUCCAGCACCUGGGCUCUGCAGACACGUUCACCUGAUUGUCUCCCAGGUCAUGACUUCACCUAUACAGAAACCACAUUGAAUUUUCCAC
rnacentral:lncRNA from 1 species